AGGUAACGAGCAGCCUGCUGCAGUUUCCAGAGGUGACUGUUGAGGCAUUUGGGGAAGAUGAGAGAAGCCUAGAUUCUGUGCUGCGUGGGAAGUUUUCCAGAGCCUGAGUGCAAACAGAAGGAAGAGGACAGCCCUGUUGAGCGCUGCCGCCAGAUUUGCAAAGCAUUUCCUGGGAUGCGGUGCAGAAUGCGAGCCCUAACGGCUCAGGUAACGAGCAGCCUGCUGCAGUUUCCAGAGGUGACUGUUGAGGCAUUUGGGGAAGAUGAGAGAAGCCUAGAUUCUGUGCUGCGUGGGAAGUUUUCCAGAGCCUGAGUGCAAACAGAAGGAAGAGGACAGCCCUGUUGAGCGCUGCCGCCAGAUUUGCAAAGCAUUUCCUGGGAUGCGGGGAGAGAUGGGCUGGCCUGGCUGGCGUGUGGCCCUCAGCUGGAGGCAGUGAGCGCUGUGCCGGGGGAGCGGCUCUCUGCACACCGUUUCAGUGGAGUCCGUGAGCAGCCUCCCACCGCCCGUGUGGUGCUGCACAAUGCCGUUUCGGGAACAGCUUUGGAGCGUCACUGUGUCGGGAGGUGUUUUCCCUGUAUUGCGUCACCACGCCGUCACGGCAGAGUCUCCAGUCGAGAGCACCUUGAUGUACAGUGGUGGGCUUAAAGGACCCAGGGGCUCACUUCUGAAUGGGAAGAAUAUGAAGAAGCCUUGGGGGGGAAAGUUGGCUGUUGUGUGAUCAAGGUUAUGAGUGUUGGAAUAAAGCCAAAGCUUCUCUGAGUUUUUGUUGUUGUGCCCUGACGAGUGCCCUUGAGUACGAGCGUGCUUGGUCCGUUGCUUUCCUUUUGCUUCCCGUCUUUUUGCCCUUAUUGGAUGAGUGAGAUGAGCAUGGACAGGGCACAGGUAUUGCUCGUUGGGCUGUGAGCUUCCAAGUGGUGAGUGGGGGUCAGGGUGAGCGAAACCAAGGAGACAAACUGGCACUUGGCCACUGCCCCUGUGUUUUGAAUUUAUUCUGUAACCCCUCCUUCCAGAUCUGGACGUGACAGAACAUGGGGUUUUAAUCUGCCUGAAUGUCUGGUUGCCACACGGACUCUUUUUAAAAGCAAAACGCAGCUCUAGUCUUAACAUCACUCUCUGCAGUUUUUGUCGCUCCUGUAUGAAGGCUUCAAGGAGCACCUUAAUUUCUGGACUCUUUUCCGUGUGGGUCUGUCUUCUGUGGGCAGCUAAGUUGUACAGGUUAACACUGACUUAGAGGGACUCUGGUGCAAGGUGUCAAGCCAUUGGUGGAUUAACACAGGGUAUUUAUAGUGGCUUGUGUGCCUGCCUUUUAGUGUAGGGGUAGCUGUGUGGUCAUUCAGAGAGUAAAGGAAUGGGAUUAAAAAGCCAAACUCAGAAGCGUAGAAAGAAUUUGGUGGGGGGCAUUUGUUUUCUUUUCCUUUUUUCAUUUUCUUUCUCUUUUUCUUUUUUUUUAUUUUUCUGGGAUCAUCUCUUAUUCCCUUUGGAUAGGCAUGUGAAAUGCAGCAGGAAACUGAAACUGUGAGUGGAGGAGUAUUUGAAUAGUAU